rnacentral:miRNA from 1 species
GGAGAAUUGCUUGAGCCUGGGAGAUGGAGGUUGCAGUGAGCUGAGAUCACACCACUGCACUCCAGCCUGG